GUAUUAUAUCUUUCUCUCACCUAAUUCUUUUCUAACCAUCGGGAGCAAUCCACCACAUGGAGUUGAGUUCCAAAGUGAUCUUCAUAUUAUGCAGGAAGACAAUGAUAAGGAUGAAGAUGAUGCUUUGCACAGAGAUUGGAAUAGCCCUAAGCAAAUGGGUGAUUGUAUGCAUGAAGGAGACUCAAAAGAAGCAAUUCGGGUCUGUCUUUAAGAUGUCGGGUUUACUCGGGUCAAGACCGACAACCGACCCGAGACCGAAAUUACAUGAAAUAUGGAACCGAUAGGAGCCCGAAAAACAUAAAAACAGGUCAGGUUUCCGGUUUUGUCUGGCCGGGUCUCGGGUUUUAUAUGGGUUACCCGAAUUUUGCUCACCCCUAGUUUCAACCAAACUAAGAUUUGCAGGAACCCGUGAAUAAACAGUUACUUAAUAGUCUUUGCAGACACCAGACACCACGUGAAGGCUGAACAAUACACAAAUACAGAGUACUGUCAUCUCAUUCAAUAUGCACAGUUGCAUUAAAUAAUGAGUUUCAACGUCUCUCUUUACACUAUAAAGCCGAUGUGGGACUUACUCCACUUCAACCCUUUCUUCAAUUUUCAACAUUUUAGAAUAUACAAAUCUAUAUAUCUGCUCAGAACCGAAGAGAUGAUUAUUACAGAAAAGAAAACCUUUAUUUUUCAAAGGUUUCGUAACGGUUCAUCAUCAAUAUGUUGUUGAUCACUUGGAUGCAGAGAUACCAAUACAGAAGUACAGAACCUGCAACUUCUGUUCGUGAAGAUUAUGUUCACAUUUAUAGGCCGAGACGGGUCGGAUUGAACUGCAAGGUUUCGUAUCGGUUCAUCAUCAAUAUGGUUGUUGAUCACUUGGAUGCAGAGAUACCACUACAGAAGUACAGAACCUGCAACUUCUGUUCAUGAAGAUUAUGUUCACAUUUAUAGGCCGAGACGGGUCGGAUUGAACUGCAAGGUAAAUACGAUGUAUUACAUGGUUAGGAGUGUACACGUGUCAAGCCACUCGUGAGCUAUCGGCUUUAAAAGCUCGAAUCAGUUGGGUUUAAUGCAUAAAUGAUCAAAUGAUGCGGGUAAAAUGGCUAUGAGAUGCGGUUCUAGACCCGCAUCUUUUGAUAAUUUAAGCAAAAACAAUCUUUACUCAAUAUAUUCAAGAGAUGUGGUUUUAUAACCGCGUCUCUUGGUGUUUAAGCUAAAAAAAUAUUUUAUUUUUUAAUUAUCAGGAAAUUUUAUUAAAAAUUCCCAUUAUAAACAAAUUUUCUAAAAAUGAAAAUUAAAACCAUAAAAAACAAAAUUAAAUAAAGCCAAUAAAAAAUAACCCAAUAAUAUGAAUUAUAAAGAUUUCAAAGUAACACAAAAGUACAAAAGUUUCAAACUAACACAUAUUAAAAGGAAAGUGAUAUUCAAUAACUUUCUCAAAUGAUAUUUUCAUACUUGCAACCCAGACCAACGUCUUUAAUUCAUACUUGCAACCGAAACCCUAGAAGUUGCCUAACAAAACAUAACGUUGUAUUAAUAAAAUGAAGCUUAAAAUGUAUACGCAAGUGUACAUAUGUAUAACAUAUUAACAUGCAAUCUUUAUAUUCAUAUGUUAAAAUGCUAUCAUACAUGAAUACACAUAAAACAUGUUGUUCCAAGUCUACCCUACAUAUGCACAUAAGACAUGAAGAUCCAAAUCCACGAACUACAAGUUCAACAAUACAACAAUCGACCAAUAUAUCUACCAUAUCAUAAAUCACAAACCAUACAAAAAGCAUUUAUCAAACCAUGCAAAGAUAUACAUGUCUUAUGUGAUUAUCAAAGUUAAUGAGUUACAAGUGUCUUGGUCAGGUUGAACCAUAUAUAUGUAUAUAUAUUAUACUAAUACACACACAUAUAUAUACAUCCUUAUACUACAUACUCAACAAUUUUUUAAUUGGCCCGUUAGAUAUAAAUGAUCAUUAAAUGGUAAAAUUUUAGCUAACCUUGAGAUGCCUUUACAGAGUUUAUGGCCAGCCCUUAAACAUCAAAUACCUCCUUAAUCCAAUGUUCCACUAAGUCUAUGACCAUAAUUUGAACUUCCUCAUGCAAAGUCUUCUCUUUUGUAUUCCAACUAUCUAAAUGUAUAGAAAUAAAUUAAAAAGUUGAUUAUUCUAAACUUUAAAACAACAUUAGAUAAUAUAACUAAUAAACUAUAAAGAAUAAGUCUUAACUAAGUACUUAUAUUAGAUCGCUACUGUCACUGUUGUUGAGUUGUGUACCUGAACCAUUCGUUCCAUUGUUUGCCGGUGUGGAUGUUAUACUCUCAAAAUCCGGUAACUUUGAACUAAUUGAAACUCAAAUUUAAACUAACCUAGUGGUAGUAUCUUUAUGUACGAAAGAGCUGAAGAAUACAACUCAAUAAUAUGUACUUAGUAGAUAGGAGCAAUAAUGGUAUGAACUUAGAUCAUAUAAAGCCAUGAUAUUAACAAUAACUUCAGGGUCAAAUUCAAAUAGAAAAUUGUUGCUUAAUGUAGGGGUGAGGAUUGCCGAGCUAUAUUUCUAAAGCUCGAGCUUGCCUCGUUCGUAAGUAGUUUUUCUAGCUCAAGCUCGCCUCAGGCUCAGCUUGUUUACUAUUUGUUAAUUACUUUAUAUGCAUUUAUACUUAACUUUUAUUAUAGUUUUUUAUAUAAUAUAUUAUAUUAUAUAGUUUUUUAUCACAAUUUUGAUACAUAUAAACUAUCAUAUAUUUAUAAGUUUCAUAUAUUUUAAAUACAAAUUAAAAAAAGAGUGAAUUUCAAGGAUUGUCAUUUAUUUUUAUACCCAUUUUCAGGCGCUGUCCUUUAUGUUCAAACUUGACGAGUUUUGUACUUUAUGUUUUAAAAUCCUGCAUGUUAUCUCCUUUAUGCCUAACCCAGUUAAUUUUUUUCUCUUAAAUUAGGUCAUGUGCAGAUCACAUGAGGGUAUAAUUGUCUUUUCAUCCUAUUAUUUAUAAGAAAAAAAUAUAUAUAUAUAUUACCUUCAUAAACCCCUCAUUCUCCCUCUGUAACACCAUCUCUCUUUAAACUCUUUUACCCCUCUCUCUCUCUCUCUAUACCUGUUCAUCCAACCACCGGUGCACACAACCAAUCCCCACCUCUUCAAUCUUCACCAUCAUUCACCACUAUCAUCCACCACAAAAGCCCCAUACCUUCACCAUCAUUCACCACAGUGAACUGAUUUUCAUUGAACCACUCCAACCGCCAUCUAAAGUUCUGGACACCAUGAUAACUUCCAACCAAACCACACCAACCAUCAUCACCGUCACCGGAGCACCUUCCACCUUGUCGGAAAGUUUGUAACUUUUAAACCAUGGUGGAGACUCACAGAUCUAACUAAGGAACGGACUCAGUUCAGAUACUCAUGGAUCACAGAUCUGUUGCCGGACUCAAUGUCAGGGGUGUUUCAAUGGAGGUGGAGUUGCGAUGAUCGGAGCACCCUAUACCAUCACUUCAAGAUUUGUUUUUUUUUUUCGAAUGGGUUUUUCCCAAAUGGGUUUCUGGUUUGAUUUUGACUUUUUGUUGUGAUCUUUACUCUAAAGUUUCUUUCUUUGGCCUUUUUCCUAGAAAAAUUUCAUGUUUACCACUU